AAAAAAGAAGUUAAAUUAACAACACAUGCUAAUUUCAAGUGUGUGUGUGCCCUGCUCUGCCGCCCGGCCCGGACGUUGUCGACCGCUGGAGGGGGACUCAGAGAGGAAGACAGUAGUCGUCCCACCAUCCAUUCCUGCCUGAUCCUCAGCCUGCCUAAUUCUGGAGACGGGCACUGUGGUGACGUCCAUAUCCGACGCCUGACAGCGGGAGACGCCGUAGACCCGGCAGGAGAUUCGUGGUGAUGGGUGCACUAUAUAGGGACAUGCAGCAGCACUGUCAACACAGUACUAGCAGGAGGAGGCGGUUCAGCCAAUCCAGCGCCUCUUCUCACCUUUUCUUCUCUCUGAUGCUGUUGCCCGACGCCACAAUCCAAUGGAAACCAGAAGAGGGGAACCACUGCUGCCAGUGCUGAAAGGGGCAACCGCCGCUGCCUAAGAGUAUACAGCCUGGUCAGCACAUGUCACAUUAUCUCCACGGGACGCCAUUGGGGCUCAUUCACGCACGGCAGACUAGAAGGCACAAGAUUUGCAAGCCUACA